CAAGUCGAACGAUUAAACUUUCCUUCGGGAAAGAUAUAAAGUGGCGCACGGGUGAGUAACACGUAAGUAAUCUACCUUCGAGUGGGGAAUAACGUCCGGAAACGGACGCUAAUACCGCAUAAUGCAGCGGCAUCUAAUGAUGACAGUUGUUAAAGAUUUAUCGCUUGAAGAGGAGCUUGCGGCAGAUUAGCUAGUUGGUAAGGUAACGGCUUACCAAGGCUACGAUCUGUAACCGGUCUAAGAGGACGGUCGGUCACACUGACACUGAAUAACGGGUCAGACUCCUACGGGAGGCAGCAGUCGGGAAUUUUGGGCAAUGGGCGAAAGCCUGACCCAGCAACGCCGCGUGAAGGAUGAAGUAUUUCGGUAUGUAAACUUCGAAAGAAUGGGAAGAAUCAAUGACGGUACCAUUUAUAAGCUCCGGCUAACUACGUGCCAGCAGCCGCGUUAAUACGUAGGGAGCAAGCGUUGUUCGGAUUUACUGGGCGUAAAGGGCGCGUAGGCGGCAAUUCAAGUCAGCUGUGAAAUCUCCGGGCUUAACUCGGAACGGUCAGCUGAUACUGCUUUGCUAGAGUGCGGAAGGGGCAAUCGGAAUUCUCGGUGUAGCGGUGAAAUGCGUAGAUAUCGAGAGGAACACCUGAGGUGAAGACGGGUUGCUGGGCCGACACUGACGCUGACAGCGCGGAAGCCAGGGGAGCAAACGGGAUUAGAUACCCCGGUAGUCCUGGCCCUAAACGAUGAAUACUUGGUGUCUGGAGUUAUUAGUGCUCCGGGUGCCGUCGCUAACGUUUUUAGUAUUCCGCC
rnacentral:rRNA from 1 species